rnacentral:rRNA from 1 species
AUACGAAGGUCCCAAGCGUUAUUCGGAAUCACUGGGCGUAAAGAGUACGUAGGCGGUUUGGUAAGUCAGGUGUGAAAUCCCGAAGCUCAACUUCGGAACUGCAUCCGAUACUGCCAGACUAGAGUAAUGGAGAGGCAGGUGGAAUUCUCGGUGUAGCAGUGAAAUGCGUGGAUAUCGAGAGGAAGACCAAUGGCGAAGGCAGCCUGCUGGACAUUUACUGACGCUGGGGUACGAAGGCUAGGGGAGCGAAAGGGAUUAGAAACCCCAGUAGUCC